UACGGGGGGGUGCGAGCGUUGUCCGGAAUCACUGGGCGUAAAGGGCGCGUAGGUGGCUUUGUAAGUUUGCGGUGAAAGCCCGGGGGCUCAACCCCCGGGUCUGCCGUGGAUACUGCAAGGCUUGAGUACUGUAGAGGCAGGUAGAAUAUCGGGUGUAGCGGUGGGAAUGCGUAGAGAUCCGAUAGAAGACCGGUGGCGAAGGCGGCCUGCUGGGCAGUAACUGACACUGGAGGCGCGACAGCGUGGGGAGCAAACAGG
rnacentral:rRNA from 1 species